rnacentral:lncRNA from 1 species
UACAGAUGAGGAAACUGAGGCUCACAGAGCUCCAGGCAUGUGCCCAAGCCUGCUCCCGCAGUGGCCAAAGGCAGAGCCUGGGCCACACUGCCUUCUUCCAACUCCGUCGCUGCCCGAGAGGAGCCCCCACGUGUGCACCUUGAAGUCACUCGAAGAGGCCAACCGGCAUCCGUCACCAUGGACACCAGGUGGGUGGCAUUGACUGCCCAGGUGCAGCACACUCUACAGUUUGUACCCUCCAAUUGCA